rnacentral:rRNA from 1 species
GAUGAACGCUAGCGAUAGGCUUAACACAUGCAAGUCGAGGGGCAGCAUGGUCUUAGCUUGCUAAGACUGAUGGCGACCGGCGCACGGGUGCGUAACGCGUAUGCAACUUGCCUCACAGAGGGGGAUAACCCGUCGAAAGACGGACUAAUACCGCGUACACUUGGGAUAGGGCAUCCUGACCCAAGGAAAUGAAAUUCGCUGUGAGAUAGGCAUGCGUCCCAUUAGCCAGUUGGUGAGGUAACGGCUCACCAAGGCGACGAUGGGUAGGGGAACUGAGAGGUUGAACCCCCACACUGGUACUGAGACACGGACCAGACUCCUACGGGAGGCAGCAGUGAGGAAUAUUGGUCAAUGGGCGAGAGCCUGAACCAGCCAAGUCGCGUGAAGGAUGACUGUCUUAUGGAUUGUAAACUUCUUUUAUACGGGAAUAACAAGAGUCACGUGUGGCUCCCUGCAUGUACCGUAUGAAUAAGCAUCGGCUAACUCCGUG